rnacentral:sRNA from 1 species
UUUUAAAGUUUCCUAUAAUAUACCAUCUUGUAUUAAUAUCGAUCUAAACCCGUCAAUUCUAGGAUUUUUCAGCUUGUAUUAAAAAUUAAAUCACAUCAUAUACAUAAAAA